UAGGGAGAGCGGACAUUGUGUGUAUAGAUCUAUACGGGAUUGACAACCCCGCACCCAGACUGCUAGCUACAGUCCCGGCCUACCAAGCCAACGGGUGACAAAUGUCAUAUUUUAGACGCUUGUAGGGCGUCUGGUACUCUAGUCAGUACGGUUACGAGUAUCCCGGGUUACCUUAUAAUUCAUUGGCUUUAAGGUAACGGUAUUUCACCGGCAAUUUACAUUGUAUGCUGGUAAUUCAGUUUCAGAGUCACAUUGUUUUCACCUUACAAGACGUAACUUUCAUUUGAUAUUGUCUGGGGUCUGUUUUCUCUAUUUUGACCUUACAAGAUGUAUCUUUCAUUUGAUAUUGAAUGGGGUCUGUUUUUCACUGUUUUAGACCUUACCAGCUGUACCUUUCAUUUGGUACCUUCUGGGGUCUGAGUCUCUAUUUCUUAGACUGAACCAGGCGUGUCGUUUGUUCGAUACUCUCCUGGAGUCUAUGAUUCCUUGCCUUAGUCAGCAGUCCUCACUGCUGAGGCAUAUGUUAUUCCCUGAUGUCGUUUGCUUUCCUCAAUAAUCAAAUUCAGUAUUUUGAUAAUGAUAGCAAUUUAGGGAAAAUGACUUUUUACCACAUAACACUGACCAGUCUUGGUAGAAGGCUGCUUUAUUAAAGAAAAUAUAGGAUUUUCUGGAAAGAACUCUAAUACACAGUAAACACUUAAACUACUACUUUAUAAAGUUAUUUGGAUAAAUGUCACUAAAUACUUAUGAACUCACCAGCAUUUGUAAAAAUGCUGAUACUCGCUUUUCAAAUAACUUGUAUUCUCAGGUUAGCAUUAGACAGCUACACCUCCGGAGCUGUUGAUGAAGAUGGCUUAGUACCUUGCUGUACUUACUUAAAUUUACUUGUAUUCUUCGAUGUAUUGUAAUGUAACCAUGUAAAACUAUUACUAUUAAUGCAAUGUUUUGUUGUACUUUGAUUACUAUAAUGCAUGUGUUGUGAUACUUGACAUGACGUCAUCCACCCCAGAACGUUUCCGCCGUUCCGGUUUUGGGGUGUGACAGAUUGGUAUCAGAGCAUUGUUUAUAGUGAGCUAAGUAUAUCAAUUCAUAAAAGAUAUACAACCUAUAAACACAAAGGGAUAAAACACUCUGACCAAGAAUUAUACUUUAAAAUAUAACCAUAUUUUACCAAAGUAUAAUAACAUCCAAAAUCUAAACACUCGAACACAAGUAUCACAAGAAGAACAAGAAUAAAAGUCUUCGGAUGUUGAGCAUUUCCGUCAAACCUGGGCAGUUAUGUAAUCGUAAGCUGGAAUAAAUGUAACCUGAUCAACUACAUUUAUCCGAGAUGCGAUGAACGUGUGCUUGGGAGUGAUAGUGGUGUUGCAACAGGUCUGAAACUUACCAACUAGGAAUGCUAGAGCCAAACAUAAAGUUAAAAUACUAUAGGAGUAUUUUGGAACACUAAAAGAUUCACACUAAUCCCAGAAUCAUAUUCAGAAGAUAAGAAUCAAACAAGAAUUAAAAUACCAUAGGGGUAUUUUAGAAUCCAUAACCAACCUUGUGUGAAGAACUAAAAAGAUCCUUAUUGAUAUACCUACAACUACAGAGGGUAUACUCCCAAGGUUAUAUAUAAUAAGGAUCCCAUAGGCUAAGAAUGUGUGGUUUCGCUCUACUUCCUUUUCCUCGUUGGGAUGUGGAUAUAGAGUAGUAUCACAUAUUCGAAGGCCUAUCGGAUCUAAGUUAUAUAUGAUUUGUAUACCCUAUGUAAUUGUAGCGGGACUCAAUAUGGAUUAUCUAGUGAAAUGUUAAUAAUCUUUUAGGAUUCUUUAGACAUUUCCAUUUUCGCCCGAACCCUGUAGACAACCCUGUCCACUUCAGUGCUUGACAGAGGAGUUGAUGCAGACCCAGAAGAGGUUCAUUGAGAAGAUUUCCUGUUCGGAAAUAAAUGAACUGGGUCGAGACUAUUGAAUGCUCCAAGUACCCAUAUUCUUCUAGGGACAUCGGUGCGAAAUUUGCCUAAACUUCUGAGAUUCCCAGUUGCCCUUUAUGAGGUGAUGACACCAUAGUCGGAAUUCGGAAGCAAGGCAAAGUAGAGAUUCAAUAUGUCCAUAUGAGAAAAGAACCCUAGGAAACUACCCGAAGGAAACCAACGCCGAUUCCAGUCAAAGAUACGAGGCAGACCGAGGGAGCCAGUACAUGGAACCCGGGAAUUGUCUUUUCCUCGUGUUCGUCACGCUAAUACACCCAUAAAAUAAUACAAUUUAGUGAGUUAGUGGUUACACUACUCACGCUAUGUGUUAGGUAAAUCGUCGUUUCCCGUUGCCAGAUACACGAUUAGGGCGGAUCCCCGCAUCUCUAUUGAGAGAAUUUUAGCCAUCUGCCCUUGUGAGCCUCUCUUUCCGCAGUUUUGUUCCGAACCAUUCUCAAAUCUCUCCAGGCCGGAGAGUGAAACCUUUCCCAGUAUAAAGGUAACUUAGUAGGAACGACUCGCAUCUUAUGGCCUUUUUUUUCCGAUACUCAUACACCCACUUCGAUUACCAGGACUACAUCUUACGGAUGUAGGUCGACACUCAGAUGACUAGUACCCAAGGCACGGGAAAAAUUUAUGCCUAAUACGUUCAGGACAGAAAUGUCCAGGGUUAACCAUCGUCUCUCAUUACAUUGUAUUCCUUUCCGUGUAGGAAAACCAUGCCACCGAAGAAGCGUAACCAAUCCACAAGCAAGAAACCUACUCUCUUAUUCGAUGAAGCUACGUUCCAAGCUGCAGUCUCAGCAGCCGUAGCAGCUGUCAUGGCUCACCUGAAUGCUAACACCGCCAAUGUUAGCAAGGGCCCUGUCGGGAUUUCCAAUCCUGGCGAUGGACAGCAGCAACCAACACUUUCAUACCCAGUCACCCAAGAACCUUCACCGAACCCACUAAAGAGAAAACUCAAGAUUGAGGAGGGAAGUACCUCGGCUCAAGGACCUUCUGAAAGGCGACGAGCUGAGGCAGUCUAUACCCCUAUCAAUCCUUCCCUCCCGACCUCAAGAAGAGCAUACCUAGGAGACCUUCCCCGCUACAGCAAGUGCAACUACCAUCAUCAUGGUGCCUACCAGGAACUCUUAUGUGCUAGGUACAACAUGAAGGGGGCAUACUGCUCGUGUAUGCAGAACUCCGAUGGAGCGUAUUGCAUCGAUCACUAAUGCGGUGACCAAUCCCGUUUGUCACCUAUGUGGUGAAAUGGGACAUUUCAAGAAGGAUUGCCCAGCUGAAGGAAACAACAAAGACACAGGAGGAGCCUAACUCUACUGCUUAGAGAGAAGCAUCAAGGAACUCGUUAGAUUUUGGUACGUCUCUCGAUCUCGGGUAACUAAACUAAAAACAAUAAAAGACUAAUUUAAAUGUAAAUUCUUUCCAGUAAGGCGAAAGUCACAGCACUGUUAUAAAAUUCAAAAAUUCAUCAGGUAAAACUAUAAUGGCUAAACAUAUACAUUACGGCCAUGUAUAUUUAAGAUGGACAGACCUAGAGUGAGCGAAUGCCGCCUCAUUUCCUGUUCCUCGUUUGGUUGUGGAUUUAGGGCGGGGUCGCUCAGUCAACAGUCCUCCCCACCUUAAAUAUACAUGACUAGUAUAUGUGAGGCGAUUAUAGAAAUGCCUUGUGAGAAUCCACUCAUGAAAAGGUACUCUAUUCGGAAACACUUAGGACCCUCUAUAGUUCCGCGUCGACUCUAUCGGUCCAAGUAUCCGCGGUAGUGAUACAUAGGACGAAACCCGAGAUGCCUAGAACUUGUGUGCGCGUUCGGCGCAUGACUCUACCGAUCUUCAUUUUAUAUCAUGUCGGAGUGUGCCAACUUCGACAACUCUAUUGAUCAUGGUUUGACUACGUGCAGCCAUGUGUACAUUCUUAGUGCUGUGUAAAAGAACUUUCACCAUAGCCAUGUCGGCAAAUAAAGGUUCUCCCGAACCUAAACCUAACACAAAUAAUCAAACCUAAUGCGAUCCGUCAAUCGUCCCUCUUAUCUCAAACCUUCCGAAGUACCCAAAAGAGGGUACCCUAUGCCGUUGACCGACCCUCGUAGUCAGAUGGACACCAAAGUGAACGACACUGCAGAUACUCCAGAAGACGACAACCAUCCGAAGCGUACUUCAUAGUUUCCCAAAAAAGACCCUUCGCACCUCGCACAUCAGGUUCGUGAACCCAGAGAACAGAACUCAUGAGACUGACCACUAUAACCAGGUAUAUGCAUAAAGGUGGCAUAUAAUUGAGGUCAAAAAGAUUUAAGGUGUGUGUUUCCUACCUGUUCCCUGUUCCUCGUUGGGUUGUGGGUUUGGGGUGGAGUCGCAUAGCUGAACAUCCUGCCGACCUCAAUUAUAUACUGCUUGCAUACACCAAGUACUGGUGGUUAAGCCAAGAAUGAGCUCUACCACGAACCUCUUCGCAAAACACUUUCACCCUAUUCCAUAACAUAGGAGCCGGAGUCAAGAGAAUCACUGCGAGUUAAACUAGUAAAGUUCCGAGUGAUGAGACCCUAUACUCACUAGAAUUGACCUAGACCGAGGAAACUCAGAACCUUCGGAAGAGUAGUUGCAGUAGAUGCUCUUACUACUCAGGCACCUUGCCCACCCUGUUAUAGACAGGUAGUGCCUAUCACCCUCCACCCUCUCGUAUGGAGGAAAUCGUCGUCGCCCUGUAGACGAUGAAAUACACUCUCCGAAGUGAACACUAGGAUACCGAGAACCACAGGAUAACCACCGCAACCAAGAAUACUCGAUCAAAGUGCGAAAGUAGUUGCGUUAAGCCUCAAGUCCCGAAUCCCGAAGAGAUUAUAUACUUGACACUAGCCUUGGUGUUAGUCGCGGGAUUAUGCAGGAGCAUGUGCUUUCCGCACUAGAUCAAACCAAAGUCUUAGAGGUUAAUUGGACUAUUAGGUGUUCCACGGAUACUAUCUCAUGCAGAAAUAGUAGAACCACCUCCUGAGAUAGUCCAACACUCGUCUAGUGAAACCCUAUCUCCCCGACCCUCAGGGUUUCCGUAUCUCAAUACUUCUUGGUGCAGGUCCAUUCUGCACAAGCUUGAGGUAGACACUCUAUAGCAAACAGAUAACCAUAGUCACGCAACCCACUCGACGAUCCAGAAACUCUCUAUCAGCCAGUUGACAGGAAACGCGAAACCGAAAGACCACUCAGCAUUCCUAAGAAACAACCUAAAGGACUACACACACAGUACGAGUGAGAACGUUAGGAACUUCGGAAUGGCGAUCGCGCCAGUAAUGAUCUUGCCAUAGAAGUACACUAUGUUCUGAGUACUGAAAAGCUCUACCAUUCCGAGAGCUUAGGACCAUAUGAGAAUUCUCAUGGAGACUUGGUCCAACCCUUUUCAGGCCGCUACUACNCUUCGGAUAUGCCACAAGACUCACACCCAAUCGAUCCACUUCGUAGACGUGAUAUGCAAUUGCCCGAAUUCACUCUUCGUGCCUCACUCAUCUUGAUAGAAUCCAUUGAGAACCCUAACCUUGUAGAUACACCAGUCGGAACCCACUAGCUACACGAGACGAAAUCCGCAUCCCGUACGUGAAGGCAUGUUGGACUGACAAACACAGACCAGAGAUCACUUGGGAAUGCGAGGACAACCGUAUAGGAAGUACUCUCAUACCUCUACUUGGCCAUUCAUACCUACUUCCUUGCUUAGACCUGAAUUUCGGGACGAAAUUCCCUCUAACGGGGGGAUGAUGUGACAACCCAAGUUGUUCCGUUACAUUUCCCCGUUACCGUUAACGGAAUAUUCCAGUUUAUAAAAGUUCCGUUAAUUAGAGGUCGUCAAUUUAAUAAACAUUCCAUUUGUUUACAUUUAAUAUGCCGUUAAGUCGUGAUAAAAAGAAAUAAAAACACAUAACACACAUUUCCAUUUAAUUGGAAAAAGUUAGUUUUUAUUAUUAUUACCACUAAAUCGGGUGCGACCAAAAGCCCCGUUUAACGGCAGUAUCGGGUAGAAUACCACUGAGCCCUGACUCGAACCCCUAUUUAAAGGAGAUUGGAGUUCAUUAGAGACUUUUUAAACUCCCUAAACACUCUCUCUCUAGACCCGUUUUCGCCCCAAAUCCGCAACCAAACGCUUCCAAAUCGUCAUUGAGUGUGUUCGAGUCCUUAUGUGACGCCGAACGCCCAAACAGCACCUUCGUCGGACCUACUUACACCAGGUGAGUUCAUACCCUUGAAUGAACCUUUUAAAUGUUUUUACAUGUUUUAGAGGGGGGGAAUACAAGUUAAACAUGCCAGUUAUCAUAUCAAUCACAUGUGAUUGAUAACCCACAUGCACAAGAUUUUACCACACUGUACACUGUUUUACCGAGUAGAACACUAUAGUGGAGUUCAAAAAGGUUUUCAAUCAUUUCAAAACUCUUACUUAUACUGUUUUACCUAAAUUCAUUUUAAACUGGUUUAUGAAGGUUUCCAAAGGUUUCUAAAGGUUUUCACACUUAUUUUACANUUACCAAAGAAUACAAAAUGCGAUUUUCCUAAAUAUAAAGGUUUUCCUAGGUUUUCAUCAAAUUUCUCUUUCACGUCGAAUACUUAUACUUGUUAGUUACCGCUGCUUCGCUUUCACUUAUUGCAAACUCCUACUUGAUAACGCUUUCACUUCCUGAUACUCUUAUACCUGUUAUUGUCUCUAUUUCACUUAUACUUGUAGUCGCUUAUACCUGAUAGACGCUCUUACUUCACUUAUUGUCGUCUCUACUUUGUGAUACGCUUAUACUUGUUCGACACUCCUACUUCACUUGCGACCGCUCUUACUUCACUUGUUCGACACUCCUACUUCACUUGCGACCGCUCUUACUUCACUUGUUCGACACUCCUACUUCACUUGGGAUCGCUCCUACUUCACUUGUUAAACACUCCUACUUCACAAGAAUCACUUCUACUUGAUACACACUCAGUCAUAGUUAGAUAUAUGUCUGUACUUAUAUAGGUGCAUAUAAGUAAUGAUUGAAAGACUUAGGAAGGCUCGUCCGCCCAAUUUCCUUUUCUUCGUUGAGAUGUGGUCUGGUGGGAUCAGAUGGCCGUCCGAAGGUCGUUUGAUUCAUUAGUUAUAUAUUAUGUACAUGAGUAUGGACAUACAGGAAUUCUUUAUUCAGUUCAGUUGAGAGUCUCUACCUCUAGUCUACACUUACAUUAGAAACACACUACCCACUAUUUGGAAGUCUCUACCCACUAUUUGGGAUGCAUCUUCAGCACACGGCCUUCUCUGUCGUCUAGAUGGUAACCAGAAUCUCAUGUAGGGAGAGCGGACAUUGUGUGUAUAGAUCUAUACGGGAUUGACAACCCCGUACCCAGACUGCUAGCUACGGUCCCGACCUACCAAGCCAACGGGUGACAAAUGUCAUAUUUCGGACGCUUGUAGGGCGUCUGGUACUCUAGUCAGUACGGUUACGAGUAUCCCGGGUUACCUUAUAAUUCAUUGGCUUUAAGGUAACAGUAUUUCACCGGCAAUUUACACUGAAUGCUGGUAAUUCAGUUUCAGAGUCACACUCUUUUG
rnacentral:lncRNA from 1 species